UACGUAGGGUGCAAGCGUUGUCCGGAAUCAUUGGGCGUAAAGCGCGCGUAGGUGGCUUCGUAAGUCCGUUGUGAAAGUCAAAGGCUCAACCUUUGAAUGCCGAUGGAUACUGCGGAGCUAGAGUACGGAAGAGGCGAGUGGAAUUCCUGGUGUAGCGGUGGAAUGCGCAGAUAUCAGGAGGAACACCAAUAGCGAAGGCAGCUCGCUGGGACGUUAGCUGACGCUGAGACGCGAAAGCGUGGGGAGCAAACAGG
rnacentral:rRNA from 1 species